AUAAAGGCAAUGACGAAGAAGAGUAAGCAGAUCGAGACGUUACAGAGAGCCGGGGAAGCUGGAAUCCCGGUACGUACUCCCUGACUGAAUGGACUUCCGAGCUCCCUGUCGAACGUGCAUAUCAGUAGACAGUGGCGGGCUUCCCUCCGUUAUACGGGAGUAAGCGAACCGGCGAUUACGGUUAAUUAGGGUGGCACCACGGUCCCUCGUCCCUUGC
rnacentral:ncRNA from 1 species